rnacentral:rRNA from 1 species
GAUGAACGCUGGCGGCGUGCCUAAUACAUGCAAGUCGAGCGAACGGACGAGAAGCUUGCUUCUCUGAUGUUAGCGGCGGACGGGUGAGUAACACGUGGAUAACCUACCUAUAAGACUGGGAUAACUUCGGGAAACCGGAGCUAAUACCGGAUAAUAUUUUGAACCGCAUGGUUCAAAAGUGAAAGACGGUCUUUCUGUCACUUCUAGAUGGAUCCGCGCUUCAUUAGCUAGUUGGUAAGGUAACGGCUUACCACGGCAACGAUGCAUAGCCGACCUGAGAGGGUGAGAGGCCACACUGGAACUGAGACACGGUCCAGACUCCUACGGGAGGCAGCAGUAGGGAAUCUGCCGCAAUGGGCGAAAGCCUGACGGAGCAACGCCGCGUGAGUGAUGAAGGUCUUCGGAUCGUAAAAAUCUGUUAUUAGGGAAGAACAUAUGUGUAAGUAACUGUGCACAUCUUGACGGUACCUAAUCAGAAAGCCACGGCUAACUACGUG